GAUGAACGCUGGCGGCGUGCUUAACACAUGCAAGUCGAACGAGAAGUGGAGACGGAAACCUUCGGGCGGAAGACUUUACUUCGAGUGGCGGACGGGUGAGUAACGCGUGGGUAACCUGCCUCAUACAGGGGGAUAACAGUUGGAAACGACUGUUAAUACCGCAUAAGACCACAGCACCGCAUGGUGCGGGGGUAAAAACUCCGGUGGUAUGAGAUGGACCCGCGUUCGAUUAGCCAGUUGGCGGGGUAACGGCCCACCAAAGCGACGAUCGAUAGCCGAUCGGAGAGGAGGACCGGCCACAGUGGGACUGAGACACGGCCCAAACUCCUACGGGAGGCAGCAGUGGGGAAUAUUGCACAAUGGGGGAAACCCUGAUGCAGCGACGCCGCGUGAGUGAAGAAGUAGUUCGGUAUGUAAAGCUCUAUCAGCAGGGAAGAAAAUGACAGUACCUGAGUAAGAAGCCCCGGCUAACUACGUG
rnacentral:rRNA from 1 species